UCUGGAGUCCUGGCUCCCUCUGGAAGCACAGUAGAGGUCUCUCCUCAUCUGAAACCCGAAACUGCGAAGGGUAUUUAGGCCUCUUAUGCGGAUCCGGCCCCCGUCUGAGCCUGUUUUCACGGUGUGAGGUGUGAGCGCGGCGCAAGGCGCUCCUUGGGGCUGAUACUGCACGCUGGGCGGGAGGGGCUCACCCAGGCCCAACGGGCGCGGCCAGUGUGGGGUCUCGGUCGGUCCCGGCGCAGCGACUCUUCCUUCGGCCAGCAGGGGUCAGCCGCAGCCGCUGUUGGCGCCUCCAGUGAGCCGCUGAGAAGCGCGGAACGCAGCCCCAGAUUUGGCGCCCGAAGGACCCUUGGAGGUCAUACGCCCUGAGGCCCGACCCAGGCCCCGGGGUGGGGAGGAGGUCCCGCCCAAGGUUGCCCAGGGGUCCGUGCUAGCGGGGCGGGACCCGAAUUCUCUUUGUCCCUGGCUCUUUCCCAAAGUCCAAGAGGCCAGUUUGAGGGGCUCUAAAAACCAGGUUUGGGCCCUAGAAGGUUCCACAGGAGGUCUGGGUGCCUGUCCCGGUUGUACCAGACGUGCUGUGUGACCUUGGGAACCUGCAUGGAGGAGGUGACAUCUAAGUUGGAUUGUGAAGGGUGAGGAGUUUUUCAUGCAGAGGAGAGGAGCACAAACCUUUCAGUACUGAAGGAUUCAGGACCAUGGCCAGCACCGAAGCAGCCUACAAAUUCUGAAAUAAGCUUAGAGUCUUAGCCAAAGAGAUCAGCACUGCCUUUAGGGAGCUUGGCGUGAGGGGAGAGGGCUGAGUCUGCUGCCUCUGGAUGGAGUGAGAGCUUCUCAAGGUAGAACAAAGGCAGUGAAGGGUGUAGGGAUAUUACACAGCUGUGCUCCAUGAGCAUGUGUUAAGGCUGUGGAAUGGAUCCUGGCAGGAUGACCUCAAAUUAAGAUUUUAAUGACUCUUCCAUUUAGAAGACACACUCUUUCCAUUAAUGCUGCCUUGUCAGAGUGAACACAUUAUAGAGAAGAGAUUUUGGCACGCCUUUCCCACUAAUGCUUAGCAAAUGCAUCAAAACUUUGCCAGCAAACUGCGUUCAUUCAUAGCAGGUGAUGUAAAAAGUUUUCCCUGAAUGUUGAACGAGUGUUCUCUGAACUGAAA